GACGAACGCUGGCGGCGUGCCUAAUACAUGCAAGUCGAGCGAAUCACUGGGAGCUUGCUCCCGGUGGUUAGCGGCGGACGGGUGAGUAACACGUGGGCAACCUGCCUGUAAGACUGGGAUAACUUCGGGAAACCGGAGCUAAUACCGGAUAAUUUCUUCCCUCGCAUGAGGGAAGGUUGAAAGUCGGUUUCGGCUGACACUUACAGAUGGGCCCGCGGCGCAUUAGCUAGUUGGUGAGGUAACGGCUCACCAAGGCGACGAUGCGUAGCCGAACUGAGAGGGUGAUCGGCCAAACUGGGACUGAGACACGGCCCAGACUCCUACGGGAGGCAGCAGUAGGGAAUCUUCCACAAUGGACGAAAGUCUGAUGGAGCAACGCCGCGUGAGCGAUGAAGGCCUUCGGGUCGUAAAGCUCUGUUGUCAGGGAAGAACAAGUACCGGAGUAACUGCCGGUACCUUGACGGUACCUGACCAGAAAGCCACGGCUAACUACGUGCCAGCCGCCGCCGUAAGAC
rnacentral:rRNA from 1 species